AGCCAGAAGAGAUUGUGGUCUUAUCUUUAGCCUCCUCAAGCAAACUAAUUGCCAGCCAAGAAUUUUGUAUCCAGUAAAACUAAGCUUCAUAAAUGAACAGGAGA